rnacentral:tRNA from 1 species
UCUGGUGUAGCUGAUUUGGUUUAGCUGGUGACUGUUAAUCACUGAAUGAAAAUAUUGAAAUAAAGUAGGUUCGACCCCUACCUCCAGAGC